UCAAAGGAUUUUCUUGAAUCCAUAAAGUCUAAGUUAAUAUAACUC
rfam:Monodelphis domestica chromosome 6, whole genome shotgun sequence.